rnacentral:rRNA from 1 species
UACGUAGGCAGCGAGCGUUGUUCGGAGUUACUGGGCGUAAAGGGUGUGUAGGCGGUUGUUUAAGUUUGGUGUGAAAUCUCCCGGCUCAACUGGGAGGGUGCGCCGAAUACUGAAUGACUAGAGUGCGGGAGAGGCAAGUGGAAUUCCUGGUGUAGCGGUGAAAUGCGUAGAUAUCAGGAGGAACACCGGUGGUGUAGACGGCUUGCUGGACCGUAACUGACGCUGAGACACGAAAGCGUGGGUAGCAAACAGG